rnacentral:rRNA from 1 species
GAGUUUGAUCCUGGCUCAGAUUGAACGCUGGCGGAAUGCUUUACACAUGCAAGUCGAGCGGCAGCGCGGGGGCAACCCUGGCGGCGAGCGGCGAACGGGUGAGUAAUACAUCGGAACAUGUCCAGUUGUGGGGGAUAGCCCGGCGAAAGCCGGAUUAAUACCGCAUGAGCUCUGGCGAGGAAAGCGGGGGACCGAAAGGCCUCGCGCGACUGGGUUGGCCGAUGUCCGAUUAGCUAGUUGGUGGGGUAAAGGCCUACCAAGGCGAUGAUCGGUAGCUGGUCUGAGAGGAUGAUCAGCCACACUGGGACUGAGACACGGCCCAGACUCCUACGGGAGGCAGCAGUGGGGAAUUUUGGACAAUGGGGGCAACCCUGAUCCAGCCAUUCCGCGUGAGUGAAGAAGGCCUUCGGUUGUAAG